rnacentral:rRNA from 1 species
AACGAACGCUGGCGGCAUGCCUAACACAUGCAAGUCGAACGAGACCUUCGGGUCUAGUGGCGCACGGGUGCGUAACGCGUGGGAACCUGCCCUUCGGUUCGGAAUAACUCCCCGAAAGGGGUGCUAAUACCGGAUAAUGUCUUCGGACCAAAGAUUCAUCGCCUUUGGAUGGGCCCGCGUUGGAUUAGCUAGUUGGUAGGGUAAAAGCCUACCAAGGCGACGAACCAUAGCUGGUCUGAGAGGAUGAUCAGCCACACUGGGACUGAGACACGGCCCAGACUCCUACGGGAGGCAGCAGUGGGGAAUAUUGGACAAUGGGCGAGAGCCUGAUCCAGCAAUGCCGCGGGAGUGAUGAAGGUCUUAGGGUUGUAAAGCUCUUUUAACCGGGAUGAUAAUGACAGGACCGGGAGAAUAAGCACCGGCUAACUCCGUG